UGGGGAAUAUUGGACAAUGGGCGAAAGCCUGAUCCAGCCAUGCCGCGUGUGUGAAGAAGGUCUUCGGAUUGUAAAGCACUUUAAGUUGGGAGGAAGGGCAGUAAGCGAAUACCUUGCUGUUUUGACGUUACCGACAGAAUAAGCACCGGCUAACUCUGUGCCAGCAGCCGCGGUAAUACAGAGGGUGCAAGCGUUAAUCGGAAUUACUGGGCGUAAAGCGCGCGUAGGUGGUUCGUUAAGUUGGAUGUGAAAGCCCCGGGCUCAACCUGGGAACUGCAUCCAAAACUGGCGAGCUAGAGUAGGGCAGAGGGUGGUGGAAUUUCCUGUGUAGCGGUGAAAUGCGUAGAUAUAGGAAGGAACACCAGUAGCGAAGGCGACCACCUGGGCUCAUACUGACACUGAGGUGCGAAAGCGUGGGGAGCAAACAGG
rnacentral:rRNA from 1 species